rnacentral:lncRNA from 1 species
GGAUAUCCACUCAGGAUCAGUCUAGAAUAGUCCUCUUUGAAAUUGAUUUUUUUUCUCCAAAAAAAAUCAGCCUGCGAAUCUGAGCAAAGCCUGGAUCGUGAUCAACUCUUUGAUCCUUUCCUUAUCUUUUUUUUUCCUUCUCUUAUCUUUUCUUUCUUAGAUUAUGAAGCAACCAGGGAGUAGAAACCUGCAAAUAAGAGGAAUGCCCAAACCCCUUUGGAUGUGAAGGAU